rnacentral:lncRNA from 1 species
AAAAAUACAAUGAAAAAAAUAAAUAAAGAAAAUGACCGUUUUUAUAGACAGAGAUGGGUUAAAGUUUCGAAAAUAAAACAAAUUGUGAAAAUAAGGUAGAGUAACUUUUGUAAGAAACAUAAAAUCUAGUAGAUGGAUACAAGGCAAAAGCGCUAAAUAAGCUUUGAACAUUAUAUGAUGUGUUGAAACACUCCAAGUGCAAGUCUUUGAAUUAAAAUGACAU